rnacentral:rRNA from 1 species
GAUGAACGCUGGCGGCGUGCCUAAUACAUGCAAGUCGAGCGAAUGGAUUAAGAGCUUGCUCUUAUGAAGUUAGCGGCGGACGGGUGAGUAACACGUGGGUAACCUGCCCAUAAGACUGGGAUAACUCCGGGAAACCGGGGCUAAUACCGGAUAACAUUUUGAACCGCAUGGUUCGAAAUUGAAAGGCGGCUUCGGCUGUCACUUAUGGAUGGACCCGCGUCGCAUUAGCUAGUUGGUGAGGUAACGGCUCACCAAGGCAACGAUGCGUAGCCGACCUGAGAGGGUGAUCGGCCACACUGGGACCGAGACAUGGCCCAGACUCCUACGGGAGGCAGCAGUAGGGAAUCUUCCGCAAUGGACGAAAGUCUGACGGAGCAACGCCGCGUGAGUGAUGAAGGCUUUCGGGUCGUAAAACUCUGUUGUUAGGGAAGAACAAGUGCUAGUUGAAUAAGCUGGCACCUUGACGGUACCUAACCAGAAAGCCACGGCUAACUACGUGCCAGCAGCCGCGGUAA